GUGGGGAAUCUUGCGCAAUGGGCGAAAGCCUGACGCAGCCAUGCCGCGUGAAUGAUGAAGGUCUUAGGAUUGUAAAAUUCUUUCACCGGGGACGAUAAUGACGGUACCCGGAGAAGAAGCCCCGGCUAACUUCGUGCCAGCAGCCGCGGUAAUACGAAGGGGGCUAGCGUUGCUCGGAAUUACUGGGCGUAAAGGGCGCGUAGGCGGACAGUUUAGUCAGAGGUGAAAGCCCAGGGCUCAACCUUGGAAUUGCCUUUGAUACUGGCUGUCUUGAGUACGGGAGAGGUGAGUGGAACUCCGAGUGUAGAGGUGAAAUUCGUAGAUAUUCGGAAGAACACCAGUGGCGAAGGCGACUCACUGGCCCGUUACUGACGCUCAUGCACGAAAGCGUGGGGAGCAAACAGGAUUAGAAACCCGAGUAGUCC
rnacentral:rRNA from 1 species